UCAGAGUAAAAGUUUUGCCUUACUGUUGCAAUCAACAGGUUUCAAAAGGGGAAACUUUUACUUUGAAG
ensembl:miRNA